UAGUAGCGGCGAGCGAAGCGGGAAGAGCUCAAAUUUAUAAUCUGGCACUUUCAGUGUCCGAGUUGUAAUCUCUAGAAGUGUUUUCCGCAUUGGACCGCACACAAGUCUGUUGGAAUACAGCGGCACAGUGGUGAGACCCCCGUAUACGGUGCGGAUGCCCAAUGCUUUGUGAUACACUUUCGAAGAGUCGAGUUGUUUGGGAAUGCAGCUCAAAUUGGGUGGUAAAUUCCAUCUAAAGCUAAAUAUUGGCGAGAGACCGAUAGCGAACAAGUACCGUGAGGGAAAGAUGAAAAGCACUUUGGAAAGAGAGUUAACAGUACGUGAAAUUGUUGGAAGGGAAACGCUUGAAGUCAGACUUGCUAUUCGGGGCUUGCUCCGAGUUGCAGGCCAGCAUCAGUUUUCUGGGGUGGAAAAUCACGGUUAGAAGGUAGCAACUCCGGUUGUGUUAUAGCUUUCCGUUGGAUACAUCCUGGGGGACUGAGGAACGCAGUGUGCUUUUAGCAGGAGCUUCGGCUUCAUCACACUUAGGAUGCUGGUGGAAUGGCUUUAAACGACCCGUCU
rnacentral:rRNA from 1 species